AUAAUAAAGUGCCUGAAAAAGGAUUAUUCUGAUAGAAUAAAUCAUGUAAAAAUUUACCUUUAUUA
rnacentral:tRNA from 1 species